UAUACUUUAGUAUAAUUUGAUGUAUGAUAGUUUUUGAUACUAUAGGAAAUAGAAUGAUUCUGUUAGGUAUAU
rnacentral:tRNA from 1 species